GGUCCGCUGGCUCAAUGGCAGAGCGUCUGACUACGAUAUUUGAUCAUAUCUGAUUGAAUAGUUAUCAGGAGGUUCCAGGUUCGACCCCUGGGUGGAUCG